rnacentral:rRNA from 1 species
UACGUAGGGAGCAAGCGUUGUUCGGAUUUACUGGGCGUAAAGGGCGCGUAGGUGGCGCGACAAGUCAGUGGUGAAAGUUCGACGCUCAACGUCGAAUCGGCCACUGAUACUGUUGGGCUUGAGCACUGUAGAGGCUAAUGGAAUUCCGGGUGUAGCGGUGGAAUGCGUAGAGAUCCGGAAGAACACCGGUGGCGAAGGCGGUUAGCUGGGCAGUUGCUGACACUGAGGCGCGACAGCGUGGGAGCAAACAGG